CGUUGCGGUCCGGCGUCAGUGGGUUAUCGUUCUGUCCCUUCGGGGAAUCUCCCAUUGGCACAAACUUGACUGCUAU
rnacentral:sRNA from 1 species